rnacentral:rRNA from 1 species
GAUGAACGCUGGCGGCGUGCCUAAUACAUGCAAGUCGAGCGAACGGACGAGAAGCUUGCUUUUCUGAUGUUAGCGGCGGACGGGUGAGUAACACGUGGAUAACCUACCUAUAAGACUGGGAUAACUUCGGGAGACCGGAGCUAAUACCGGAUAAUAUUUUGAACCGCAUGGUUCAAAAGUGAAAGACGGUCUUGCUGUCACUUAUAGAUGGAUCCGCGCUGCAUUAGCUAGUUGGUAAGGUAACGGCUCACCAAGGCAACGAUGCAUAGCCGACCUGAGAGGGUGAUCGGCCACACUGGAACUGAGACACGGUCCAGACUCCUACGGGAGGCAGCAGUAGGGAAUCUUCCGCAAUGGGCGAAAGCCUGACGGAGCAACGCCGCGCGAGUGAUGAAGGUCUUCGGAUCGUAAAACUCUGUUAUUAGGGAAGAACAUAUGUGUAAGUAACUGUGCACAUCUUGACGGUACCUAAUCAGAAAGCCACGGCUAACUACGUG